GUAGCUUUCUGGCUUUACUUGCUAUGUGAUGGAGCAAAAUAGAUGGCAAACUUCACGUGUUUCGGUGACUUUGCUUUAAUUAAUGGCAUGUCGCGUUGUAAAGUCGACAACGGUUGUGUUCCAAAUGCAUUGAUGAAGAAUGCUUCGAUGUGUUGUUGAGGAAGAAACUUUCGAUAGGCCUCAACCACCACUGAAUCCCACAGAGUUAACUGACUUCUGUACGCCACAUGAGGAAGUGAAGGAUGACGCAUACACAGUGGCAUCACGAGCCUGACAGACCACCUGAAGACUGGUGCUGGACUAAAAUUCAGGUAUCCAUAUGAGCAGAGUCACACACAAGUUUGAAAUCAAGUGAAGCCAAAAAGCUUGAAUAUAAGGAGUUCAAGAAUCCACAUGAAGUUCUUCCGGUGAUGGAACGUGGUAUCUCCCCAAGAUGGAUGCACAAAUCAUCAUCCAAGUCUCCUGAAGCUUUGAAAUGCAGCUCAAGUACCCGCAACUAACUUUUCUUCUUUCAUUUUACGAUGAUUUAAGUUCUUUUAAGAUGAUUCAAGUUAUUUGUGGCUUUGUUUUUCAUGUCAGUAAAACUAUUAGGGCUUUUCAAGUUUUUAUUUUAAUUUUCAUGGUAUUGAGAUUGUUUCCUGUUUCUCAUUUUAAUUUUGUGUCAUCUCUGGAAAUUCAUUAUUGGUAUCGACGACUGAGGUUCUUGUGUUGUGACAACCCAAUGCCGGAAUAUCCAACUCCCAAGGAGGCUGAACAUCGUAGUGCAAGAUCCCACUACUUGCCAUAACUGGUCAGUCAAGUUGUGUUUACUGUUGCGACAAAAUCCAAUUCUAUUUAAGGCUUUGACUGUCAUCUUUGCUCUGAUUUCCGUUGCUUUCAUCUUCCAUUUCCGUUAGCUACUUUAUUUCCAAGUCUAACCAUGCAUUAGCUGUGGUGCUUACGAAUGCACAAACUCCUGCUUGCCAUUUUUUGAGAGACAAUACA